CCUACGGGUGGCAGCAGUCGAGAAUCUUUCACAAUGGGGGAAACCCUGAUGGAGCGACGCCGCGUGGAGGAUAAGGUCUUCGGAUUGUAAACUCCUGUCAUGCGAGAACAAAGCCUCACGGCCUGAUAGUAUCGCAAGAGGAAGAGACGGCUAACUCUGUGCCAGCAGCCGCGGUAAUACAGAGGUCUCAAGCGUUGUUCGGAAUCACUGGGCGUAAAGGGUGCGUAGGCGGCAAGAAAAGUCAGAUGUGAAAUCCGGGGGCUCAACCUCCGAAUAGCAUCCGAUACUCUCUUGCUAGAGAGUUGUAGAGGAGCUUGGAAUUCUCGGUGUAGCAGUGAAAUGCGUAGAUAUCGAGAAGAACGCUCGCAGCGAAAGCGAAGCUCUGGGCAACAACUGACGCUGAGGCACGAAGGCUAGGGGAGCAAACGGGAUUAGAUACCCCUGUAGUC
rnacentral:rRNA from 1 species